rnacentral:rRNA from 1 species
GUGGGGAAUAUUGGACAAUGGGCGCAAGCCUGAUCCAGCCAUGCCGCGUGAGUGAUGAAGGCCUUAGGGUUGUAAAGCUCUUUUGUCCGGGAAGAUAAUGACUGUACCGGAAGAAUAAGCCCCGGCUAACUUCGUGCCAGCAGCCGCGGUAAUACGAAGGGGGCUAGCGUUGCUCGGAAUCACUGGGCGUAAAGGGCGCGUAGGCGGACUUUUAAGUCGGGGGUGAAAGCCCAGGGCUCAACCCUGGAAUUGCCUUCGAUACUGAGAGUCUUGAGUUCGGAAGAGGUUGGUGGAACUGCGAGUGUAGAGGUGAAAUUCGUAGAUAUUCGCAAGAACACCAGUGGCGAAGGCGGCCAACUGGUCCGAUACUGACGCUGAGGCGCGAAAGCGUGGGGAGCAAACAGGAUUAGAUACCCUUGUAGUCC